ACUCAAUCUGAUGCGAUAGGCCCGUCUGUUCGCAGCGUCUUGUGAUGUUGGACGUUUUUACACAUGAAUAUUGUUUGUGUAAUGCAGUCAUAAUAUUUACGCAGGGACGCGGGAGGAGUGAGGUGGAAGCUCUGCCGAACUAUGAGCACAGAAACUCGGACGGGGACUUGAAGAUCGACUCCUGCAGUCAGUUUACCAUCGAAUGAUCCAGGAAUUAAGGCUGGAGUGGGCAGGCGUGCGGCUUUCGCCACAGGAAGCUGUGAAUUCUUUGGAGAAUGGAAGAUGUCUUAUGGGGAGACAUACUGGCCCCCCACCCCACCCACUCGCCACCCUAAAAUGACACCUGACCCCUUCAUGUGUUUAUAUCAGACCAUGGAAGUGAGAAAUAGUGAUGAGUCACUCUGGCUGUGUGUUUACACUCCAGAGUCACGCAAGGAAGGAAAUCAGCCACGGUCUGCUAAAAGUGGCGAGGUGAGAGAGAAUAGCUGCAGUCCCCCAGAGCUGCAGUGAUUUACCUCUCAGAGCCAGAAUUUAUUUCACGUCACGUCGGCUGUAAAGACCUUCGACCAACAGAACCCAGCAACAUUAGCGGCGCAGUAGUAGUAGUCGAGGAGAAGGUAACUCUGAUUGCGGCGAGGGCCAAAACAAGAGGUAGUGAGUCAAUGAGGAUAAACUGCAUGUAUAUAUACUGUAUGUGCGUCUAGUCCACUGCUACCAUACUGAUUAUUUUAAGAGAUAAAAAAUAUAAUAAGCGGGAUAAAUCAUAAAUUGAAGUAAAUUGAAUUUUAGAAUCUUAUUUUAAGUCUUAUUAGAUACAGAAUGUUGAGCACAUCCAGUAGCUUUCUUAUGAAGGCAGUCAUAGAAUGAAAACCUGUAUCUCCACGCAUUACAUGUUUCUUCAACUAACAAAAACAGUUUUCAAUGUGUAAUACAGCUUGAAACAUUUUCAGAAAACAUUUGUUCUCAGCUACAAGGGGAGCAUGAUCGCUCAAUUUAAUUUAAAAAUGAAAGUCACUAAAAGUUAGUUAGAGUUACAAGGAUCAGUAACAGUAAUUAUAUGCUAUUAUGAGUUCAACAGAAAUAAUAUUGCAUAUACUGUAUUGAUAUCAAGAUGAACUUAACAGUUGUAAUUUCAUCCACUAUUCAAAUUUCUGGUUAUGAUUUUCUGCAAAAGAAAACUUGUAAUCAAACAACUGAAAGCCCUUUAGACCUACCUAAGAUUUAUUAUACAGCACUUUAUUUUUUAUAGUUAAAAGCCAGUUUGAUAUUAUAUCUGCCUAUUUGAUUAUGUCUGCCAUUGUGUCAGGUACAUCCCAAAAAAUAAAAGCAUAGUUAGCAAUCUCUAAUGAUUGAACAAGAUUUAAUUAGUUAAAAAAAACGAAUGGCUUGGAUUGUAAUAAAACAGACAAGUUAUAUUUUUAAGUGAGGAGUUAGACAUGGUGCUUAGUCUUUACACUCAUCCCUAAAACUGUCUUGACACAGCAGCUUACACAUCAUACUACAGUCUGUGCAUGAGAUUAUAUUGACAAUAACUGAUAUGCCUUACAGUUUACUAUAUACUUUAUGACCUGAAAAAUACAAUACUAGAAUGACAAUAUGCUCACUGCAUCAUAAGAUGUGUUUAUGAUCAAUGCUAAUGAGUGAUCUUACCAUAUCACUGCUGUAUGAACCACACUGGACACGUAUUGCAUUGUGCUCUGGAGGACUUCAUGUUCAAUGUACUGUGAGGUGUGUUUACUGUGGCUAAGACCAGUGUUUCAAACAUAGUGUCAUUGUCGUCCUCCACACUGAGUGACUUUAGAUUGCACAACUGUUGUUUUCAAGAGACAGCUGUAGUUACUGCAGUUGUGCUCUGUAAAUAAAAGUGACACUUUAUUUCUUUCCAUCAUUACAUUGGUGCAAGUAACUUCAUCGCUGACUGUAGCGAAUAUCCUGUUACACACCCCCAUAUACACCGCCACAAUGAGAGAGUCAGCAGCUCUUAUUUUGGCUGAUCUCCCCUGAAUUGUAAGUCCUGUCAGGGGCUUUGAUUGAUAGUUGUGUUUAUCACCAUAUUAUUAAGUAAUCAGGCUCACCACAGCUGGGCCUGAAGCUCCUUAAUUCCAGCUAAAGCACACGGCUUCAUGCUAAUUAAAGGUUUGGCGAAAGUGUUUAUUUUUGUGAAUUUUUAAAAUAUAGUUGUCUGUGUUUUUAUGAGAGUGCGCUGAUUGUUGCAUUUGUGUCCUCUCUGGAACAUUUAGUAGCAACCUUUAGUGUUGCAUCUUCAUUAUGCUUUUCCAUUACAUAAUAAUAUACUGUUUUAAAUUGCUGCACAAUGACAAAUAACGUGCACACAGUACAGUAUAUCUGUAUAUAACAUAAGAGGGUCAUUUAGUCUAUGUUCUGUGUAUCAGCAGAGGUUUCCUCUCGCUUCGUUAAUAGAGCCUGCGGCAGGCUGCGUUUGUGUAUUCCUGAGGUAAACACAGUCAUGGCAAAGUGGACAUGCUGCUGAGUGUGUCCUGACUGGAGACAGAGAGCACUGUGGCACUGUACUGACUGAGACACUGUCAGCUCUCUAGAGGUAGGGUUAAUGUGAUGAAUUGCCAUUUGGUAAUGGGCCAUGUAUUAGAGUGAAAUAGCUCUUUUAAAAGCCCAAGCUCGAGCCGUUGCUAUGGGCAAUUUGAUUCAGGAAUCAAUCAGGUGGCAGAUGUUUCAUGUUGGAUCAGUCAACUCUGUCUUGCUCUCUUUCUUUCAACCAAAUGAAGGAAGAAAUGCUUGAGUGACUGCAUGUAGAAAUCAAAUGUAAAUGUAAAUUCAGGCAGUCAAAAACACCAGUGAUGCCAUAUAUGUAUGUAUGUAUGUAUGUAUGUAUGUAUGUAUGUAUGUAUAUUUAUUUUUUAUCUUGGACAAAAACAAUUAGGGCCAAUUUUUGGAACUGUAUGCAUAAACUGUUAGAUCCUUAAAUAGUAAGUAGAAGAAGUAGAAAAAUGCAAUGCUAUUUUUUUCUUACUGUGAAAACUGUAGACUUUAGGCUCAACAGACUGCUAGCCAGCGAGGAUUUUACUGUACUUAUCAAUGAGAACCUGUAGUACACAUUUCUACACACUGGAGAAAUGAUUGUCCACAAAAUAGAUAUCCAGUAAUACAAUUACCUAAAUGCUAAAUGUGUGUGUCCUGUACAUUUUCUAUCGGCAAAGUGAAAUACAUCAAAAGCAUAGUCCAUGCAAAUAUUUUAAUUAUGAGGAUGUUUUGUGCCAUAAUUGUUGCCAUAUUUCGUUUUACUGUGUCCCUUUCAUCAUUAUCUGUUGCAUACUCUUUGUAUUUUUUUCUUUUAAAAUACUUAAUUUAUAAUGUUUUUCACAUUGUUGUUGUUUGUUCAUAUGUUCUGGUGCUACAGUCUUUUGAACACUGUUAAUAUUGGAAUGAGUUUUUGUUUUCAAUUUUAAUUACAGUAAUAAAUUUCACUUAACGCAA